rnacentral:rRNA from 1 species
GACGAACGCUGGCGGCGUGCUUAACACAUGCAAGUCGAACGGUGAACCUCUUCGGAGGGGAUCAGUGGCGAACGGGUGAGUAACACGUGGGCAACCUGCCCCCGGCUCUGGGAUAACUCCAAGAAAUUGGGGCUAAUACCGGAUGUUCACCGCUUCCCGCAUGGGUGGUGGUGGAAAGGGUUUCCGGAUGGGGAUGGGCCCGCGGCCCAUCAGCUUGUUGGUGGGGUAGUGGCCUACCAAGGCGACGACGGGUAGCCGGCCUGAGUGGGUGACCGGCCACACGGGGACUGAGACACGGCCCAGACUCCUACGGGAGGCAGCAGUGGGGAAUAUUGCGCAAUGGGCGGAGGCCUGACGCAGCGACGCCGCGUGGGGGAUGACGGCCUUCGGGUUGUAAACCUCUUUCAGCAGGGACAAAGCGCAAGUGACGGUACCUGCAGAAGAAGCACCGGCCAACUACGUG